rnacentral:rRNA from 2 species
UCCUUGAGAGUCCUGAAGGAACGUUGAAGACGACGACGUUGAUAGGCCGGGUGUGUAAGCGCAGCGAUGCGUUGAGCUAACCGGUACUAAUGAACCGUGAGGCUUAACCUUACAACGCCGAAGGUGUUU